UACGUAGGGUGCAAGCGUUGUCCGGAUUUAUUGGGCGUAAAGAGCGUGUAGGCGGCCAGGUAGGUCUGCUGUGAAAACUCGAGGCUCAACCUCGAGACGUCGGCGGAAACCAUCUGGCUAGAGUCCGGAAGAGGAGAGUGGAAUUCCUGGUGUAGCGGUGAAAUGCGCAGAUAUCAGGAGGAACACCGGUGGCGAAAGGCGGGUCUCUGGGGCCGAUACUGACGCUGAGGAGCGAAAGCGUGGGGAGCGAACAGGACUAGAGUACC
rnacentral:rRNA from 1 species